GAUGAACGCUGGCGGCGUGCCUAAUACAUGCAAGUCGAGCGAACAGACGAGGAGCUUGCUCCUCUGACGUUAGCGGCGGACGGGUGAGUAACACGUGGAUAACCUACCUAUAAGACUGGGAUCACUUCGGGAAACCGGAGCUAAUACCGGAUAAUAUAUUGAACCGCAUGGUUCAAUAGUGAAAGACGGUUUUGCUGUCACUUAUAGAUGGAUCCGCGCCGCAUUAGCUAGUUGGUAAGGUAACGGCUUACCAAGGCAACGAUGCGUAGCCGACCUGAGAGGGUGAUCGGCCACACUGGAACUGAGACACGGUCCAGACUCCUACGGGAGGCAGCAGUAGGGAAUCUUCCGCAAUGGGCGAAAGCCUGACGGAGCAACGCCGCGUGAGUGAUGAAGGUCUUCGGAGCGUAAAGCUCUGUUAUUAGGGAAGAACAAAUGUGUAAGUAACUAUGCACGUCUUGACGGUACCUAAUCAGAAAGCCACGGCUAACUACGUG
rnacentral:rRNA from 1 species